ensembl:lncRNA
CAUCUACUCAUCACAAAACUCUUAAACAUCUGAACUUUCUGCAUCAUGCUAUUUUAUUUGAAACUUUUGGCACAAAAUUAACUUCAUAGUGCAGAGUAUUAACGAUCUUCUAGUGCACACACACACACACAUGCACAUGCACACAGGUACUGAUCACAGGUGUGUAGUGUUCACUCGGUGUUAAUGUUAAUGAUGUGAGUGUGUGUUAGAGUAUCAAAGUGAGUGUGUGUUAGUAUUUUAAAGUGAGUGUGUGUUAGUAUUUUAAAGUGAGUGUGUGUCAGAGUAUCAAGUGAGUGUGCGUUAGAGUAUCGAAGUGAGUGUGCGUUAGAGUAUCGAAGUGAGUGUGCGUUAGAUGUAUUAAAGUGAGUGUGUGUUAAGAGUAUCAAAGUGAGUGUGUGUUAGUUGUAUUAAGUGAGUGUGUGUUAGUGUAUUAAAGUGAGUGUGUGUUAGUGUAUUAAAGUGAGUGUGUGUUAGUGUAUUAAAGUGAGUGUGUGUUAGUGUAUUAAAGUGAGUGUGUGUUAAGAGUAUCAAGUGAGUGUGCGUUAGAGUAUUGAAGUGUGUGUUCGUUAGAGCAGCGGUCCCCAACUCUUUUGUUUUUGCGCCACGGACCGGUUUAAUAUCAGACAAUAUUUUCACGGACCGGACGUCAAGGUGUGGUGGAUAAAUACAACAAAAUAAAAUGAUACCGGCAUAAAAACUGGGGUAUUUUUAAAAUAUAAUAAUAAACGUGAAUCCAAUGUGAAAUCGCAACUUUAUUAGCAGUGUCCUCGUAACCUCAUGCCAACAACAUAACAUGAGUAACAUCCUCUCUGCCCCGUUACGCUCUCUGGUCGCUAUGGUAACGUUUCAACGUGCCUUCAAAAUAGGAUACACCACAAAAAUAAAUAUAAAGUGCAUGAAAAAUACAACUCACCAUAACGCUGAAACAGUGGGAGCCCUGAGCCUGUUUCUCUGUAAUGAGACGGUCCCAUCUAGGGCUAAUGGGAGACAAUGACAUCCGGAGUGUGUUGCUUAUGUCCAGUCUACUCCGUAAUUUUGUUUUGGUUGCUGUCACUGCAGAAAAGCC